AGAACAGAAGGUCUUUAUAGAACAGAAGGUCUUUAUAGAACAUGAAGGUCUUUAUAGAACAGAAGGUCUUUAUAGAACAGAAGGUCUUUAUAGAACAUGAAGGUCUUUAUAGAACAGAAGGUCUUUAUAGAACAGAAGGUCUUUAUAGAACAUGAAGGUCUUUAUAGAACAGAAGGUCUUUAUAGAACAGAAGGUCUUUAUAGAACAUGAAGGUCUUUAUAGAACAUGAAGGUCUUUAUAGAACAUGAAGGUCUUUAUAGAACAGAAGGUCUUUAUAGAACAGAAGGUCUUUAUAGAACAUGAAGGUCUUUAUAGAACAGAAGGUCUUUAUAGAACAGAAGGUCUUUAUAGAACAUGAAGGUCUUUAUAGAACAGAAGGUCUUUAUAGAACAUGAAGGUCUUUAUAGAACAGAAGGUCUUUAUAGAACAGAAGGUCUUUAUAGAACAUGAAGGUCUUUAUAGAACAGAAGGUCUUUAUAGAACAGAAGGUCUUUAUAGAACAUGAAGGUCUUUAUAGAACAGAAGGUCUUUAUAGAACAGAAGGUCUUUAUAGAACAUGAAGGUCUUUAUAGAACAUGAAGGUCUUUAUAGAACAUGAAGGUCUUUAUAGAACAUGAAGGUCUUUAUAGAACAGAAGGUCUUUAUAGAACAUGAAGGUCUUUAUAGAACAUGAAGGUCUUUAUAGAACAGAAGGUCUUUAUAGAACAUGAAGGUCUUUAUAGAACAGAAGGUCUUUAUAGAACAGAAGGUCUUUAUAGAACAUGAAGGUCUUUAUAGAACAGAAGGUCUUUAUAGAACAGAAGGUCUUUAUAGAACAUGAAGGUCUUUAUAGAACAUGAAGGUCUUUAUAGAACAGAAGGUCUUUAUAGAACAGAAGGUCUUUAUAGAACAUGAAGGUCUUUAUAGAACAGAAGGUCUUUAUAGAACAGAAGGUCUUUAUAGAACAUGAAGGUCUUUAUAGAACAUGAAGGUCUUUAUA